UACGUAGGUGGCAAGCGUUGUCCGGAUUUAUUGGGUUUAAAGGGUGCGUAGGCGGCCCUGUAAGUCAGUGCUGAAAUAUCCCAGCUUAACUGGGAGGGUGGCAUUGAUACUGCGGGGCUAGAGUACAGAUGAGGUAGGCGGAAUUGACGGUGUAGCGGUGAAAUGCUUAGAUAUCGUCAAGAACACCUAUAGCGAAGGCAGCUUACUAGGCUGUAACUGACGCCGAGGCACGAAAGUGUGGGGAUCAAACAGG
rnacentral:rRNA from 1 species